GACAGAGGGUGCAAACGUUGUUCGGAAUUACUGGGCGUAAAGCGCGUGUAGGCUGCUCGGAAAGUCGGAUGUGAAAGCCCUGGGCUCAACCUAGGAAGUGCAUUCGAAACUUCCGAGCUGGAGUGCUGGAGAGGAAGGCGGAAUUCUCGGUGUAGAGGUGAAAUUCGUAGAUAUCGGGAGGAACACCAGUGGCGAAGGCGGCGAUCUGGGAAGAUACUGACGCUGAGGUGCGAAAGCGUGGGGAGCAAACAGG
rnacentral:rRNA from 1 species